AACGAACGCUGGCGGCAUGCCUAACACAUGCAAGUCGAACGAGACCUUCGGGUCUAGUGGCGCAUGGGUGCGUAACGCGUGGGAACCUGCCUUUAGGUUCGGAAUAACUCAGAGAAAUUUGAGCUAAUACCGGAUGAUGUCUUCGGACCAAAGAUUUAUCGCCUUUAGAUGGGCCCGCGUUGGAUUAGCUAGUUGGUGGGGUAAAGGCCUACCAAGGCGACGAUCCAUAGCUGGUCUGAGAGGAUGAUCAGCCACACUGGGACUGAGACACGGCCCAGACUCCUACGGGAGGCAGCAGUGGGGAAUAUUGGACAAUGGGCGAAAGCCUGAUCCAGCAAUGCCGCGUGAGUGAUGAAGGCCUUAGGGUUGUAAAGCUCUUUUACCCGAGAUGAUAAUGACAGUAUCGGGAGAAUAAGCGCCGGCUAACUCCGUG
rnacentral:rRNA from 1 species